rnacentral:rRNA from 1 species
AUUGAACGCUGGCGGCAGGCCUAACACAUGCAAGUCGAACGAGCGGCGGACGGGUGAGUAAUGUCUGGGAAACUGCCUGAUGGAGGGGGAUAACUACUGGAAACGGUAGCUACUACCGCAUACCAUCGGAUUUGCCCAGAUGGGAUUAGCUAGUAGGUGGGGUAACGGCUCACCUAGGCGACGAUCCCUAGCUGGUCUGAGAGGAUGACCAGCCACACUGGAACUGAGACACGGUCCAGACUCCUACGGGAGGCAGCAGUGGGGAAUAUUGCACAAUGGGCGCAAGCCUGAUGCAGCCAUGCCGCGUGUAUGAAGAAGGCCUUCGGGUUGUAAAGUACUUUCAGCGGGGAGGCGUUACCCGCAGAAGAAGCACCGGCUAACUCCGUGCCAGCAGCCGCGGUAAUAC